rnacentral:rRNA from 1 species
UAGGGAAUCUUCGGCAAUGGGGGAAACCCUGAAGGAGCAACGCCGCGUGAGUGAAGAAGGUUUUCGAAUGGUAAAGCUCUGUUGUAAAGGAAAAAGGAGUGUGAGAAGGGAAAGUUAAUACUGUGACGGUACUUAACAAGAAGGGGAGGGCUAACUACGUCCCAGCAGCCGCGGUAAUACGUAGGUCCCGAGCGUUGUCCGGAUUUAUUGGGCGUAAAGCGAGCGCAGGCGGUUAGAUAAGUCUGAAGUUAAAGGCAGUGGCUCAACCAUUGUAGGCUUUGGAAACUGUUUAACUUGAGUGCAGAAGGGGAGAGUGGAAUUCCAUGUGUAGCGGUGAAAUGCGUAGAUAUAUGGAGGAACACCGGUGGCGAAAGCGGCUCUCUGGUCUGUAACUGACGCUGAGGCUCGAAAGCGUGGGGAGCGAACAGG